rnacentral:lncRNA from 1 species
AAAAAGAGAGGAAUAAAGUAAUGUACAUUACCUCAAGACUAUCCCACUGUUUUUAUCUCAUAUAUAUGUAGAGAGUAGUGGCUUAGCAACUGCACACAGGAAGAGACUACUCUGCAGGUAGCACUGAUGACACCUUUCUGCUCUUCGAUCUGUACUCAAACUGAACAGGAGUUUCCACAGCUCAGCUGAAUUCAGCAAAAUGGGGAGAGGACGAAGUAAGAUUGCUCCAUGAAGAUUCCUAGUGUCAGCCUUUGGUAAGAGAUAUCACUGCUUAUGGAAAAGCUGCAUUAACACUGUCCUGGAUUUGUUAUUUAUUUAAGUGGUUUCACAUGGGACACCAGAUGUCUCUA